CGCGUAGGCGGCUUCUUAAGUCAGAUGUGAAAGCCCGGGGCUUAACCCCGGAAGUGCAUUUGAAACUAAGGGGCUUGAGUAUGGGAGAGGGAAGUGGAAUUCCUGGUGUAGCGGUGAAAUGCGUAGAUAUCAGGAGGAACACCGGUGGCGAAGGCGACUUCCUGGACCAAUACUGACGCUGAGGCGCGAAGGCGUGGGGAGCAAACA
rnacentral:rRNA from 1 species